AUUGAACGCUGGCGGCGGGCCUAACACAUGCAAGUCGAGCGGAUGAUGAAAGCUUGCUUUCUGAUUCAGCGGCGUACGGGUGAGUAAUGCCUAGGAAUCUGCCCGUUAGUGGGGGAUAACUCGGGGAAACUCGGGCUAAUAACGAAUCCGUCCUACGGGAGAAAGUGGGGGAUCUUCGGCCCUCACCCUAACAGAUGAGCCUAGGGCGGAUUAGCUAGUAGGUGAGGUAAUGGCUCACCUAGGCUACGAUCCGUAACUGGUCUGAGAGGAUGAUCAGUCACACUGGAACUGAGACACGGUCCAGACUCCUACGGGAGGCAGCAGUGGGGAAUAUUGGACAAUGGGCGAAAGCCUGAUCCAGCCAUGCCGCGUGUGUGAAGAAGGUCUUCGGAUUGUAAAGCACUUUAAGUUGGGAGGAAGGGUAUUCACCUAAUACGUGGGUACUUUGACGUUACCAACAGAAUAAGCACCGGCUAACCCUGUGCCAGCAGCCGCGGUAAGAC
rnacentral:rRNA from 1 species